rnacentral:rRNA from 1 species
GUCUACGGCCAUUGCCACCUCAAACAAGUCCGAUCCCGUCUGAUCUUGGAAGCUAAGCAGGGUCGGGCCUGGUUAGUACUUGGAUGGGAGACCACCUAGGAAGACCAGGUGCUGUAGGCG